AACGAACGCUGGCGGCAGGCUUAACACAUGCAAGUCGAGCGCCCCGCAAGGGGAGCGGCAGACGGGUGAGUAACGCGUGGGAACGUACCCUUUACUACGGAAUAGCUCCGGGAAACUGGAAUUAAUACCGUAUGUGCCCUUCGGGGGAAAGAUUUAUCGGUAAAGGAUCGGCCCGCGUUGGAUUAGCUAGUUGGUGGGGUAAAGGCCUACCAAGGCGACGAUCCAUAGCUGGUCUGAGAGGAGGAUCAGCCACAUUGGGACUGAGACACGGCCCAAACUCCUACGGGAGGCAGCAGUGGGGAAUAUUGGACAAUGGGCGCAAGCCUGAUCCAGCCAUGCCGCGUGGGUGAUGAAGGCCUUAGGGUUGUAGAGCUCUUUCACCGAUGAAGAUAAUGACGGUAGUCGGAGAAGAAGCCCCGGCUAACUUCGUGCCAGCCGCCGCGGUAAAAC
rnacentral:rRNA from 1 species